UCACCACAGCGCUUGGGUUAUUUAUUUAUUUUUGAGACAGGGUCUCUGCCCGGUGCAGUGGCUCACGCCUGUAAUCCCAGCACUUUGGGAGGCCGAGGCUGGAGGAUCGCUUGAGUCCAGGAGUUCUAGAUCAGCCUGGGCAACAUAGUGACGCCUCGUAUCUAUUUAAAAGAAUAAAAAAAUUAAGAAAAAAGAGAGAGAAACAGAGUCUCGCUUUGUCGCCCAGGCUGCAGAGCAGUGGUGCAAUCAUGGCUCACUGCAGCCUCGACCUCCCAGGCUCAAGCGAUCCUCUCUCCUCAACCUCCUGGGUACUUGGGACUACAGGCCUGCGCCACCACGCCUGGUUAAUUUAAACAAAUAAACAAACAAACAAACAAACCGUAGAGACGGGGGUCUCAUUAUGUUGCCCGGGCUGUUCUGAAACUCCUGAGCUCAAGUGUUCCUCCCACCUUGGCUCCCCAAAGUGCUGAGAUUACAGGCAUGAGCCACAGCGCCCAGCUGUUUGUUCCUAUUCCAUAGCCAUGCCCCUCACAAUUCCUUGAGAUCCAGGCUCCAGUCCUUUAACGAAUCUCUACCCCAUGAGAAUCCCACGCUUUUAGAUGAAACCCCAUUCAAGCCCAGAGACACAGCCCCAAUUUAUACAACAAGCCACAUCCCAGGACACCGUCUGCGUCCCUAGACACCGACGACCUAGGUGUCACCCUACCAACGAACACUGCCCCCUAGCCUAGAGCCCCGCACCUUCAUCCACUACCCACCCCCAACCCGCAAUACAGUUCUGCCCCUGUUUUAUAGCAUGCCCCUACUAGCUCAUAACCCGGGCCAGUCCCUUCUAACAAAGCUCCUCCCUUCUCUAAUAGCCCUGCCCCUUGCAACAGAGCCCGGCCCCUUCCACCGAAGCCCCGCCUCGCAACCGUAGCUAGCGAGCCAUCAGCUUCGGUUCCAGCCACGCGCCCAGGCUUCUCACGACCAAGCUCCGCCCCAGCGCCACAGCCCCACACACCCGAGUAGAGGGACCUCUUACCCACAGGGCCCUUCCAGCACGUUCCACUCGCCCAUGAGCCAGGCCCCUGCUUGCAGUUCAGCCCUUCCAGAGAAGCCCAACCCCCAGCCUGAGACCCCAGGGAGGACCCCUGCCCCAGCCCUUCAGGCCCCCUCACCAGCUGCUCCCCAGACAGCACUUCCAGGAGCCGCGUGAGCACGAAGCCGUCCCGGAGGUCCACAUAGAGGUCCCCGAUGUGGCAGCCCACGCGGGCGAGGUGCGAGUUCACCCACUUGGUGAAGGUUUUCUUCUGCACGGCUUCCCGCUCAUCUGGAGGAGAGGCCCUGAUGAGCCCCCAGGCGCUUCCACCUUCACCCCAGCCCUCCGCGAGCCAAGCCUGCUCAGACCCAGCUCUCUGCAAGAGUCCAGCCUCACAGGCGGAUCACCUGAGGGUCUGCCCUGUAUAAAAUCCAGGCU
rnacentral:lncRNA from 1 species